CUGGGUUUGACAGUGCAUCGAAAACAUCCUUAAAUGGUUGUGCCUCUUUUGGGGACAUAUUCAAGGUGGUUGUUGGUUUUUCGCCGCCCGUGGCCUGGAGAUUGUGGGGUUAGUCCCCCAACGAGCCCAACCCUUCUUCCACUGUUGCCCGCAAUUCAGGUUGGGCAUUCCAUGCAGAUGGCCGGGAUCAACUCGGAGGAAGGGGGGGAUGACGUCAAGUCAUCUUGCCCCUUAUGGCCAGGGAUUCACGCAUGCUACAAUGGACGGUACAGGGAGUUGCCACAUCGUAAGGUGG
rnacentral:rRNA from 1 species